rnacentral:tRNA from 1 species
UUUCCUAGAAUAAUCA